rnacentral:misc_RNA from 1 species
AAAAUUGUAUAAAGCUCACCAAACUAAAGCUGGCAAUUUUAGUGUGUGCGAACUGCAACAAACAAAAGAUCAAGCAAUAUGUGGAACCCCGCACUGAUUUCACUAUGCUUUGGGUUCCUUUUCCAGAACGUUCAUGGGCAAGAUGAAAAUUGUUAUGAUGACCAAGGUACUCCAAAAGUUUGUCUCACACUCUUUAUGAAUCCUGCUUUAGGGAAGCCGGUAGAAGCCACUAAUACCUGUGGACAGACAGGACCCACAGAGUACUGUCCUGUAGGACAAAGGACAUGUAAGGUGUGUGACUCAACGGAUCCAGGGAACAGUCACCCCGCUAAUUUUAUAACGGACAGUUAUGAUUUUUACGGCCGAACUUGGUGGCAAUCGGACACCAUGUUGGAAGGGAUCCGUUAUCCAGUGGUAGUCAACUUAACUAUUGAUUUAAAAAAAGCAUACGAUAUCACCUAUAUGACACUGAGGUUUAAAUCUCCGAGACCAGAUAGUUUUGCCAUUUACAAGAAAACAGCUCCAGGUAGUGACUGGACGCCAUAUCAAUUCUUCAGCACCUCUUGUCAGUCGACUUACGGGAAACAAGAUGUUAGUGGUCGCUGGCUCAUUCAAACAAGUGAACCAAACGAAGCCUUCUGUAAAUCAGAAUACGGUGAUAUUUUCCCAUUUUCUAAUGGCCGCAUACCAUUUAGUACGUUAGAAGGACGACCCGGGGCGAAUGAUUUCGAUAACAGUCCUGUUCUGCAGGAAUGGGUAACAGCCUCUGCAAUUAGAAUCUCUCUGACGCGAAUGAAUACGCUUGGGGAUGAAGAUUUUGGUGGUGAUCGGGCUCUAAAAUCAUAUUAUUAUGCAAUUUCUGACUUUGAAAUUGGUGCAAGAUGCAAAUGUAACGGUCACGCCAACGAGUGCUACUUGCCAGAGAACCAGGUAGCUGACCAUGAAGUCUGUCGAUGUCAACACAACACUGGUGGUGUUAACUGUGAGAAGUGCCUUCCUUUGUACAACGACAGGCCUUGGGCCGGUGCGGCGGAAUCCAGUGCUAAUGAGUGUCAGCGUUGUGAGUGUAACGGCAAAGCGGAUCGCUGCUAUUUUGACGAGAAUCUCUACCAGACAACUGGCAGGGGAGGUCGCUGUGUUGACUGUCGUGAUAACACUGAUGGACCUCAAUGUGAAAGGUGUAAAGACAACUUUGUUCGAGGAGCAAACGGAGAAUGUGAGUCAGCGACGCCGGUUCUUUAAUAUUCAUGAAAGUGAUUCAUCAGACCUGAUCCCAUAUAAAGGAGGCUACACACACAAAGAAAGAUACAACGUCUGCGUUCUUACACAACUGAUUAACACAUUCACUACUAUAAACGU